CAUUCGAGAUAGCAUUUUUUGUAAUAUUAAAAAUGUUUUUUCUUCUGAUUGUGAACGUAAAUGUGCUACAGAUAGUCACGCUUUUUAGACAAUAUACAUUUUUUUAAAAAGUAAAAUGCAUUUUAAAGACAACUUACAAUAUGUUGUGAAGGCCUGAGGAUAUAAGCCUUCGGAUGUGACUUUAAGCAGUGGAUCCUGAAGAUGGAUGCAUGGAUAUUAAAUAUGGACUACAGAAGACUUACGGAGUUCAUGGAGUAGCCUUCUUGAAUUAUCCUCUCAGCUGAGCCUUCGUGGAAUAUUCAAACUGAAUCCAUCGUGUGAUUCAGAUCACUUUCAACCUAUUAAGUAGUGGACCCGCUGUGAUUUCUCAGAGGUGUUUAUUAAAUAUGAAAUUCAACGUAUGCAUUUGUUUUUGUAAAAUGUUUCCUUAGUUAUUUACUUCAUGGUUAAUGAAAAUUAGCAAUCAGCUUUAAUUAAUCUGGUAUAAAUUUUGCCAAAUGCUUUAUACAUUUCUAACAAAACCUAAACGCUAAAGUAUUUAUUAGCUGAAAUAAUGAAUACUUAUUAAUAUUUAAAAACAGUGCCUUAUUUUUAGCCCAUUGCUUGUUUUUAAUCCAUUGCUGUCUUAAAUUUGAUUUUAAUCACUGAAAACUGAGUACUAUAACGGGAGCAACUGCAAAAUAACUCUCUCUGGAAGGACAUUAAGGACCAACAUGGUUUAACGUUUAAAUUGGAUUAAAUCAAGAUUACAUUUAGUUUACAAAUAAUUCUGGUUAAAUGUAAACCUUUGGUGACCUCAGUUUAAUUUCCCUUUAAACCUUGAUUAAAUUCAUGUCUGUUGCACCCAUAAAUUUAAACCUAGUAUAAAGCUGGAUUAGCAGUCAUAUUUAAACCACCCCCUGAAGAGGUUUAUGUUAGGGUCUGUUUCAGUUUUAUUGACAACAUGGUUGCAUAUCUUUGCUAGAUGGGAUUAGAGGAAAAUUCAAGACAGGUUAAACCCAAUUGAAUUUUAGACCUAUAAUGCGUUUUCCCAGCACUAUAGGUUUUCAAAAAAAGUCUGUCAUGGGUAGAGUGAACCAGAUAUCAAACAUGGAAAUAAGAGGAAUUCUGCUGUACCUCUACUUCUCUGACCCCCAGUAGUUUUUUGUUUUUAUGCUACAGGGAAUUUUCAACUGGUUUAGGGCUCUUUUUUGGAGUUCACAAGUCCACAGUCUGUGAAAUUGUAAGCAGAGUAUCAAAGGCAACUGCACAUUUAAAGAAUCAGUAUAUUCAUUUUGAACCAAGGAGGAAGAUAUCAGCUGGAUUUUACAGGAGAGCAGGCUUUCCUAACAGUGGAGCUAUUGACUGCACCUACAUUUUCAUGGCUAAGGUGAUGAGAAUGGGGAACGUUCUCAUAAUCGAAAGGACUACUGCUCAAUUAAUGUCUAAGUUGUGUGUGAAAAGUAAAAGUAGCUCAACAUAACUUCUAUAUAAGUGUGGUAAAAGUAACUUUUAUUUUAGAAAGUUCACAAGACAUUUGCAUUAGCUUUGUUUAGGGCCUUAUUUAUUUAGCCUUGGAUGCAUUGUGAAUUUGUUUACAUUUGUUGAAAUCCAUCAUGGCAGACACUGAACCUAAAUAAAUCCCAUUUUAAUCAUUGUUUAAA